rnacentral:rRNA from 1 species
AGUGAACGCUGGCGGCGUGCCUAAUACAUGCAAGUCGAACGGAGAUUAAGUAGCUUGCUAUUUAAUCUUAGUGGCGCACGGGUGAGUAAUAUAUAGCUAACUUGCCCAUUACUAAGGGACAACAGUUGGAAACGACUGCUAAUACCUUAUACUCCGUAUCUAUAUAAGUAGAUACGGGAAAGUUUUUCGGUAAUGGAUAGGGCUAUAUCGUAUCAGCUAGUUGGUAAGGUAAUGGCUUACCAAGGCUAUGACGCGUAACUGGUCUGAGAGGAUGAUCAGUCACACUGGAACUGAGACACGGUCCAGACUCCUACGGGAGACAGCAGUAGGGAAUAUUGCUCAAUGGGGGAAACCCUGAAGCAGCAACGCCGCGUGGAGGAUGACACUUUUCGGAGCGUAAACUCCUUUUCUUGGGAAAGAAUUAUGACGGUAUCCAAGGAAUAAGCACCGGCUAACUCCGUG